rnacentral:lncRNA from 1 species
UAUAUAUAUAUAUAUAUAUAUAUAUAUAUAUAUAUAUAUACAUACGUAUGUAUGUGUGUGUGCGAGAGAGAGAGAGAGAGUGCCUGUGUGUGUGUGUAAGUAUGUGAGUGGGUGCAUCGUGUAUCGCUUAUUCUUUUACAACUAACUAACCGUUCAUUUAUCGAUUGUUUGAACAAUGUCUUGAUCACUCAGUCAAUCGGUUUCAUUUAUAUAUAUAUAUUUUUUUUUUUUUGCUGAGUCCUUUCGGCGCCAUUAGCCACCUCAACAAUGACGCUCUCUCGCUGCUCUAAGUCUUUCACGAUGAGGCCAUUAUAAAUCUUUUCUUUCAACGCACCACUGUAAACGACAAGGACAGGCAAAAAAAAAAAAGUAACACACAAUCACACGCAAAUACGAAAUAUAAAUAGAUGCACACACGCACACGCACACAUACACAUGCAUAUCUAUCUAUCUAUCUAUCUAUCAAUCCAUCUUUCUAUCUAUGAUUGUAAACACUAAUACAGAAAACAAAUACGAACACAGAAACAUGCCGGAUUUCAUUUCUUAGCCUCAUACUUUGUGCGUUUCCGAAUGUAUAUUCCUUAAAGCACAAUAAAUUUGAAAUGCAACCGUCACAGUGAAGCGAUGUAAAGACAAGAGUAAAAAUAAAAAUACAUUGCGUAUAUGUGUGUGUGUGUAUGCAUUUACAUAUAUAUAAACAUACAUAUAUAUAUAUAUAUAUAUAUAUAUAUAUAUAUACAUAUACAUAUAUAUACAUAAUAUAUAUAUACACAUAUACAUAUAUAUAUAUAUAUAUAUAUAUAUAUAUAUAUAUAUAUAUAUAUAUAUAUAUAUAUAUAUAUACAUAUAUGUAUGUAUGUAUGUAUGUAUGUAUGCAUGUAUGUAUGUAUGUAUGUAAAUACAUAUAUCAAUAUAUAAGGCGCAGGAGUGGCUUUGUGGUAAGUAGCUUGCGUACCAACCACAUGGUUCCGGGUUCAGUCCCAUUGCGUGGCACCUUGGGCAAGUAUCUUCUACUAUAGCCUCGGGCCGACCAAAGGUUUGUGAGUGGAUUUGGUAGACGGAAACUGAAAGAAGCCCGUCGUAUAUAUGUAUAUGUAUAUAUAUGUGUGUCUGUGUUUGUCCCCCCCCAACAUCGCUUGGCAACCGAUGUUGGUGUGUUUACGUCCCCAUCACUUAGCGUUUCGGCCAGAGACCGAUACUAUAAGUACUAGGCUUACAAAGAAUAAGUCCUGGGGGUCGAUUUGUUUAACUAAAGGCGAAGCUCCAGCAUGGCCGCAAUCAAAUUACUGAAACAAAUAAAAUAAAAGUAUAUAUAUAUAUAUAUAUAUAUAUAUAUAUACAUAUAUAUAUACAUAUGCAUAUAUAUCUGUAUAUGUUUGUGUGCGAGCAUGUAUAAACACACAUACAUAUAUAUAAAUAUACACUAAUAUAUGUGCACGUGAAUGUGUGUCAAUUUUUGUGUGUGUGCAUGUAUGUAUACGCACACAAAUGUGCAUUUGUUCGUAUGUGUAUAUGUAAAUUUGUACAGGUGUAUGUAUGUGCAAGAGAUUUAGGCUUAUUGAUUACAAGAUGAAAAUAAAGGUUAUAUGUUUUUCAAAGAUUUUAAUAUAAGGGAAAACACUUCGUGACAAAACGAUUUAUUUCUCUUUAAGAGAUUGACGCCGCAGUAGACGCGAAGACGACCAGACGAAUUAAUAUAGAAAACUUCAUAAAAUAUUGCAUUAGCAGACGUAUAACUUCUAUAUUUGCGUGCGUGGGUGUGCUCUUUCUAUCUCCUUUUCUCUCUCUCCCCACCAUAUAUAUAUAUAUAAUAUAUAUAUAUAUAUACAAACACAGAGAUAAAUUCAAAUAUAAAUAGAGAGAUAAAGGGAAAGAUAGUUAAAUAGAUUGAGAGAGAGAGAGAGAGAGAGAUUCUGUCAAGUUGGUGUAGUAAACCUCCUUUAGAAAGAGCAAUCUCAAAACAUGGCCAGAUGUGACGUCUAUCACCUCAUCAGAAAAAUAGUAUUUAUAUAUGCAUCCGCACGCACACACAAAUACACGCCAUGACACACACAUACACCCACACAUAUAUAUGUGAGGUGGGUGAGUAAUAUAUAUAUGUAUAUAUAUUUAGUAAUUUCGAUAUCUUUAUGUAUGAGCGAAAUCGGCAUUUAUUGCUCUACACGCAAUGUUAAGUCUACAAUAAUUCUUUCGAACAUAGGCACAAGACAUGAAAUCUUGGAAGAGACGGAUAGUCGAUUACUUUGACCUCAGUGGUUGACUGGUACUUACCUAAUCGACUCUGAGUAAAUGAAAAGCAAAGUCGACAUCAGCAGAAUUUGAACACAGAACGUAAAGAGAAACGAAAUGCCGCUAAGCAUUCUUGUUUGUUUAUUGCCCACAAGGGGUUAAACAUAGAGGGGACAAACAAGGACAGGCAAAGAGAUUAAGUCGAUUACAUCGAUCCCAGUGUGUAACUGGUACUUAAUUUAUCGAUCCCGAAAGGAUUAAAGGCAAAGCCGACCUCGGCGGAAUUUGAACUCAGGACGUAGCAGCAGACGAAAUACCUAUUUCUUUACUACCCACAAGGGGCUAAACAUAGAGGGGACAAACAAGGACAGACAGACGGCACACGAAAUACCGCUAAGCAUUUCGCCUGGCGUGCUAACGUUUCUGCCAGCUCGCCUUACGCCGUCUUAAUACUCUUUUCUACUCUAGGCACAAGGCCCGAAAUAUUGGAGGGAGGGGCCCUGUCGAUUAGAUCGACCCCAGUACGCAACGGGUACUUAAUGUAUCAACCCUGAAAAGAUGAAAGGCAAAGUCGACCUGGGCGGAAUUUGAACUCAGAACGUAAAGACAUACAAAAUACAACUAAACACUGGGAUCCCCGAAAUUGGUGUCCUUGGGCCAAAAUUUGAAACCAAUAUUAAGACUGUUUAAGGUGCCGAACUAUCAGGAUCAUUCCAGUGUUACUGGCCAGUAAUUUCAAAGAAAGGGCUCAAAUCUAUUACAUCGACCCAGGUAUUUCAAUAGUACUUUAUUUUAUCACGCCUGAAUGGAUAGAAGGUAAAGUGCAUCUGGGCAGGAUUUCAACCCAGAACUUAAAGAGCAUAUUCUCCGACAUGCUAACGAUACUGCCAACAAGCCGCCUAUCCCAAGAUUACUUUAACGAAUCAAAACUUCGAUGCACCGAACUGAAAAACAUCGCUACUAUUCCUGCAGUAGGGUUUCGUUUACUAAUUUGACUAAUACGUAAUACAUGGAGCGUAAAAGAUUAAAUGAAAAAAUCGCACCUCUCACUGCGGCAAUUGAACUCAGAACGUUACUUGAUACUGGAGUAUAUUAUAAUCCAUGGCUUUCUGCCGACUCUACAAUCUACCGCCUUCGUCGAUUGAUAUAAAACCGUUCUGAUAAAAGUGCACCUGAUAUAAAUAAGCAUUUAUAGCAUCCUGCACUGAACUGGGUCUAUUACGAAUACUUUAUUCCCUUUCUUUCGUGAAUUGUACAUGGGGGGAAAACACAAUAAUUAGACAGAGCGUAAUGGUACUGAAAUUAUAGAUUUUUUUUUUUAGAUUACUAAAGAUAUAAACACAUCAUGUUAUUGACUAUUUCUGUUCUCUUGAAAAUAUCCCGACCAUAUCCCUCCUUGAAUUAGCAACUGGUGUGCUUCUAGUCUUGGAUAAUUGCCAGGUUUAUAAAACUCAGAAAACUGCAUCAUUGUCAUUUCCCGUGAGAAUUGACAAACUCACAUUUAGCUAUAGAAGAAAACACCCGCUACCAUCAAUUCUGUUCUUCCAAUAUACCCAGAGAAUUUCUUUUUCUUUUCUAAAAAAAAAAAAAAUCCUACACUCUAGAAAAAUAUUAAAAAUAGUUUGUUUUUUUUUUUUAUGAGAAGUAUGAAAAUAUAUUUUUUGAUGGGAAUAUUUUGUUAAUUAUCAAAUAUUUAUAUGGCUUAAUAAUUUCGUAUGUUUAUUUUGUUUCGAUAUGAGCACGUAGAAACAUUAAAUAUGUAUAAUAUACUACAUAAAUUUUCAUAGGAAUUGGCGUGUAUAUGUAUAUAUAUAUAUAUAUAUAUAUAUAUAUAUAUAUGUUUGUAUGUAUGUAUGUAUCUCUCUCUCUGUCUAUCUAUCUAUCUUUCUAUAUAUAUAAACAUAUAUAUAUAUAUAUAUAUGUGUGUGUGUGUAUGAGUAUGUAUACAUACAUAUAUUCAUACAUCCAUGCGUGUAUACAUAACACAUACGUACAUACAAUCAUACAUACAUACGCACAUACAUACAUACAUAUGUACGUAUAAACCUUAACCCUUAUCAUUCUCAAGAAAAUCAGUGACCAUCAUCAUCAUCAUACCUAUCAAGUGGGAUUAAGUAUAUUGGUGUGUGUGUGUGUGUGUGUGUGUAUGUUUGUGUGUGUACACUUACAUUAUAUAUAUAUGUUUACGCGUUUGUUUUGGAAAAUUCCGAAGAGGUCACACUCAGCGUGUAUGACAAAAGGGUUCAGCUGGUACUUAUAUUAUCGACUCUGAAAGCACGAAGGGUAAAGUCAAACCUAGCGACAACGAAACACCGCUAAGCAUAAAUACCGAUGCGCUAACGAUUCUGCUAGCUCACCGCCUUUAAAAUAAUAAUAAUAAUGGUAAUGAUAAUGAUAAUGAUAAUAAUAAUAAUAAUAAUAAUAAUAAUAAUAAUAAUAAUAAUAAUAAUAAUAAUAAUAAUAAUAAUGAUAAUAAUAGUAAUAAUGUAAUAAUAAUAAUUAAUAAUGAAUAAUAAUAAUAAUAAUAAUAAUAAUAAUGAUAAAAUAAUAAUGAAAUAAAAAUAAUAAUAAUAAUAAUAAUAAUAAUAAUAAUAAUAAUAAUAAUAAUAAUAAUAAUAAUAAUGAUGAUGAUAAUAAUAAUAAUAAUAAUAAUAAUAAUAAUAAUAAUAAUAAUAAUAAUAAUAAUAAUAAUAAUAAUAAUAAUAAUAAUAAUAAUAAUAAAGCUGAUGCAAAGACCGAACCUAUACUGCGUGUGUUCAAUUGGUAAAAUAUGACCACCCCCACGUAUAACAAUAUCCUUAGACAGACAGAUAGACAGACAGACAUAAAUAUGUAUACCUACCUAUGUAUCUAUACAUGCAUGCAUACAUGAAUAUAUACGUAUGCAUCCGUGCUUAUACACACGCAUUUACACAUACAAUUAUAGCUACAUAGAGAAAACCUCUAUUUUUAGUUCACCACCUCUUAAACAUAGAAACAAAAUAAAUAAAAGACGGCAUCAACAUCAGUGUGUGUGCAUUUGCAUGCCAUCUCAAGUUCAGGUUUACCAAGUGAAACGUAAGACUUGUCAUCCUCGAAAAUAUCAAAGAGUUUCCGAUAUUUAUAUCAUACUAUUCCUGCCUGCUUAGUCGCAUCCACCUGCCAACUCGACGGUGCUAUAUCGAAUUCCCCGAAGCAGCAAUUGUCACAUGACUUGCGCAGACCUGUUAACAGUGAGUGAGGGUGGGAGGAAAAAAAAAAGUAUCUG